GCUCAAGGAUCAUCAUGAGCUCAUCCAGGCACCAUGUUGAAGAUGCGUAGUUCUUAGAUAAAACAAUUAUUGAAGCACGAGAGCCUUUUAUAGCUCUUUCAAGCUCGGGUUUAAGUUUUUCACCGGUUUCAACCUCUUCCUCAUCAAGAAAGGUAGAGAUGUUUUCAUUCACCAAAGCUUGGUAGAGGUGAUCCGUAAAACCUAGACGAGUGUCUUUCCCUCUGAAACUCAGGAAAACAUCAUAUGUUAUUGGGGCUUCUUGUUCUUCUGAUAAUUCAGUGAGGAUGGCCAUGAAAGUUGUGAAUUACAAGACUGUAUAUGAUCAGUGUAGGAAACACAAAGAUCUUUAUUUGUGGAUGUUCAAAUGCCUGAAUGCCCUACCCAACAUCUGUUUGGUGAUUAUGAAAUAUGGGAGCAUUGUGAUGGCGGGAGAGAGAAAACAAAUGAAAAUCUUCCAGAGAAAACAAAUGUAAUCCGCCCUACAAGAACACUAGGCUUUACAGGAGGAGAGCAUUGAGUAAUAUCAACAAGAACAUCAUCAGAGCUCCACCAGCAUAUCCUUAUGCUGCUAAUGGUUUACCAGGGGUAAAAAGCCAAAAUUCCAAAUUAUCUCUUAUGAGAUUGAGACUGAAAACUUGAGCAUCAUUGAUGCUGAAGAUGAUUUGAAUGCACCAAUGUUUGUUCAACAUACAGAAGCUAUGCUGGAUGACAUAGAGACGAUGAUGUAUACGAGGAGCCGCUUUUGGACAUUGACAAUGCUGAUUGAGUACAUUGAUAAAAUUUUUGCCCACUACUAAAUGCAAGAGGUACUAACAUGUUAUUCACCAACAUACAUGUCACAACAACAUGACAUAACAGACAGGAUGAGAGGUAUUAUCGUCGAUUGGCUAGUUGAGACAGGAUGAGGGGAUUGUUGGUUUUCAAUUUUCAAAGUCCCGAUGUGAAGUUUGAAAGAGCUAGAACACUAGAUGCUUUGAAGUAAGUUCUUUUGGGGAGAAUAACCCAAUGAAUCUCAUGUGGCUUGGGUUAAAUGGAAUAGAAUCAUGGCAGAUAAAGGCAAGGGGGCAGGACUAGGUAUUGUAAAUGGAUUUGGAGAUUCAAGAACAAAAAAGAUAGCUUUGGGCUAAAGCAGUGAAAAACAUACAUUGUGAUGAUGGUUUACUCUCCUUGGAUUUGGUUAGAAAGCUCACGGUGCUCUUGGAAAAAUAUAGUUGAUGUUGUCUUUCAGCUCAGCUCGAAUAAUAUAGAUGCAUUUGGAUUGAUGACAAGAAAUUUGUGAAAUGGAGCUGAUAAAAAUUCUGGAAUGAUCAGUGUUGUAAUUGUAAUGGGCCUCUAAAAUCAUCUUUCAUAGACUAUUUGCUUUUGACGUGCAGAAAAAAGAGAAUGUAGCAGAGUACUUCAUUGGAUCUGGGGGGGUCUUCAAUCUAUGCCAUACACUGUGGUUUGAGAGAUGUGGAGUUUAUGUAAUAACAUCAUAUUUAAGCAUUAUAUAAGGUUAAACAACCAACAAACCUGGACAAUUGUGAUGAAUACAAGUUUCCAGU